CGGGACGUGGCGCAGCCUGGUAGCGCAUCUGCUUUGGGAGCAGAGGGCCGCCGGUUCGAAUCCGGCCGUCCCGACCA
rnacentral:tRNA from 1 species